CUGAAGUUUUCAACAGUCCCAUUCCUGUGCUAUCACUGGUUUUCCCAAAUUGCUAGCAAUGAGCUUUUGGUGUGAGUCCAAGUUAAACUCUGCCAUCCUUCCUCGGAUUCCUCCAUAGGCUAAGUAUCAAGCUGAAACUUCCCUCACUCAAGAGCCUUUACCUUUACUGACAUUGUGUCAGUGUUUUACUUUCAGCAACACUUCCAUCCUCUUCUUGGGAAUGGUCUUUUCUGUGCGUUACAGUCCUAUUGAAGGGCUGUGUAAGAAUCUACUGAAGACUUUUCAGCUAUGACCUUGUGGCCCUCAAGUGGGUGUUCAAGUUUCUCAAGAAUCCUCAAACAUCCAGAGUAAGAGCUAUGAAUGGAAAUGCAAGGCUGCUGAAAAGGAGAGAAAACCAACAUUAAAACAUCCGAAAAAUAUGCUUGCAAAUCUGUGUA
ensembl:lncRNA